AUGAAACUUAUAUCUUACAAUUCCAUUUCCUACAGAGUAGUUUAAAUGGAAAUAAGAAGUACUGGCCUUUUAAUAAUUGUGACUUCUAGCACACACCAGCAAGGAACUCUGUCACCAUCCAAAGCCUGGAUUUCACAACUGCAUUCAUGCGAAAAAUGCAUAACAAGAACUCACUAGAUGCUGAGAAUUUCAGGAUGGAAUAGCUAAA
rnacentral:lncRNA from 1 species